UGUCCUUACAGUUUUCGCUGUGUCAGAGGGAGACAGACAAUGUAGCAGGUACACAUGGUUAUGGGCAUAUAUAGACAGAGGAAGAGCAUGCGUGGUGGUGAGGCAGAAAGGGAAGAAGGAGAGAGAGAAUCUCAAGUAGAUUCUACGUUCAAUGCGGAGCCCAAGAAGGACUAGAACUCACAACCCUGAGAUCAUAACCUGAGCUGAAAUCAAGAGUGGGCUGCUUAACCAACUGGAUAUCCCAAUCCUUAGACACUUGAGAUAUUUUCUGGCGAGGUCCAGUUUUUAAUACAUCACCUACGCUUCUUCUUCC
rnacentral:lncRNA from 1 species